GAUGAACGCUGGCGGCGUGCCUAAUACAUGCAAGUCGAGCGAACAGACGAGGAGCUUGCUCCUCUGACGUUAGCGGCGGACGGGUGAGUAACACGUGGAUAACCUACCUAUAAGACUGGGAUAACUUCGGGAAACCGGAGCUAAUACCGGAUAAUAUAUUGAACCGCAUGGUUCAAUAGUGAAAGACGGUUUUGCUGUCACUUAUAGAUGGAUCCGCGCCGCAUUAGCUAGUUGGUAAGGUAACGGCUUACCAAGGCGACGAUGCGUAGCCGACCUGAGAGGGUGAUCGGCCACACUGGAACUGAGACACGGUCCAGACUCCUACGGGAGGCAGCAGUAGGGAAUCGUCCGCAAUGGGCGAAAGCCUGACGGAGCAACGCCGCGUGAGUGAUGAAGGUCUUCGGAUCGUAAAACGCUGUUAUGAGGGAAGAACAAAUGUGUAAGUAACUAUGCACGUCUUGACGGUACCUAAUCAGAAAGCCACGGCUAACUACGU
rnacentral:rRNA from 1 species